UACGUAGGGGAGCCAAAGCGUUUGGUCCCGGGAAAUCAUUGGGCGUAAAGCGCGCGUAGGUGGCCAUGUAAGUCCGCUGUGAAAGUCAAAGGCUCAACCCUUUGAAAGCCGGUGGAUACUGCACGGCUAGGAGUCCGGAAGAGGAGUGUGGAAUUCCCGGUGUAGCGGUGAAAUGCGCAGAUAUCGGGAAGAACACCCGUGGCGAAGGCGGCACUCUGGGACGGUACUGGACGCUGAGACGGCGAAAAGCGUGGGGAGCGAACAGG
rnacentral:rRNA from 1 species